CCCUACGGGGCGCAGCAGUAGGGAAUCUUCCACAAUGGGCGAAAGCCUGAUGGAGCAACGCCGCGUGGGUGAAGAAGGUCUUCGGAUCGUAAAACCCUGUUGUUAGAGAAGAAAGUGCGUGAGAGUAACUGUUCACGUUUCGACGGUAUCUAACCAGAAAGCCACGGCUAACUACGUGCCAGCAGCCGCGGUAAUACGUAGGUGGCAAGCGUUAUCCGGAUUUAUUGGGCGUAAAGGGAACGCAGGCGGUGUUCUAAGUCUGAUGUGAAAGCCGUCGGGUUUACCGGAGUAGAGGCAUGGGAACG
rnacentral:rRNA from 1 species